AUAGCGUAUAUUAAAGUUGUUGCAGUUAAAAAGCUCGUAGUUGAAUUUCGGGAUCAGUUGGUCGGUCGUGCCUCGGUACGUACUGGUCAAAUUGAUUCCUACCUUCUGACGAACCACGAUGUCAUUAAUUUGGUGUCGCGGGAGAUCAGGACUGUUACUUUGAAAAAAUUAGAGUGUUUAAAGCAGGCUCGCGCUUGAAUACAUUAGCAUGGAAUAAUGAAAUAGGACGUUUGAUUCUAUUUUGUUGGUUUCUAGGAUCGACGUAAUGAUUAAUAGGGAUAGUUGGGGGCAUUAGUAUUCAAUUGUCAGAGGUGAAAUUCUUGGAUUUAUUGAAGACUAACUACUG
rnacentral:rRNA from 1 species